rnacentral:rRNA from 1 species
UACGUAGGGGGCAAGCGUUGUCCGGAUUUAUUGGGCGUAAAGAGCGUGUAGGCGGCUUGGUAGGUCCGCUGUGAAAACUCGAGGCUUAACCUCGAGAUGUCAUCGGAAACCAUCUGGCUAGAGUCCGGAAGAGGAGAGUGGAAUUCCUGGUGUAGCGGUGAAAUGCGCAGAUAUCAGGAAGAACACCAAUGGCGAAAGCAGCUCUCUGGGACGGUACUGACGCUGAGACGCGAAAGCGUGGGGAGCGAACAGG